AGUGAACGCUGGCGGUAGGCCUAACGCAUGCAAGUCGAACGGCAGCACAGUAAGAGCUUGCUCUUACGGGUGGCGAGUGGCGGACGGGUGAGGAAUACAUCGGAAUCUACUUUUUCGUGGGGGAUAACGUAGGGAAACUUACGCUAAUACCGCAUACGACCUACGGGUGAAAGCAGGGGAUCUUCGGACCUUGCGCGAUUGAAUGAGCCGAUGUCGGAUUAGCUAGUUGGCGGGGUAAAGGCCCACCAAGGCGACGAUCCGUAGCUGGUCUGAGAGGAUGAUCAGCCACACUGGAACUGAGACACGGUCCAGACUCCUACGGGAGGCAGCAGUGGGGAAUAUUGGACAAUGGGCGCAAGCCUGAUCCAGCCAUACCGCGUGGGUGAAGAAGGCCUUCGGGUUGUAAAGCCCUUUUGUUGGGAAAGAAAAGCAGCAGGUUAAUACCCCGCUGUUCUGACGGUACCCAAUGAAUAAGCACCGGCUAACUUCGUG
rnacentral:rRNA from 1 species